GAUGAACGCUAGCGGCAGGCCUACCACAUGCAAGUCGAGGGGUAACUAGAGUGAUAGCAGUAUUACUUUGGCUAGACCGGCGCACGGGUGCGUAACACGUAUGCAACCUACCUUAUACUGGGGAAUAACUUCGAGAAAUCGGCGCUAAUACCCCAUAACAUUGCGAAGAGGCAUCUCUUUGCAAUUAAAGCUCCGGCGGUAUAAGAUGGGCAUGCGUCCAAUUAGCUAGUUGGUGAGGUAACGGCUCACCAAGGCUACGAUUGGUAGGGGUUCUGAGAGGAUGAUCCCCCACACUGGUACUGAGACACGGACCAGACUCCUACGGGAGGCAGCAGUGAGGAAUAUUGCGCAAUGGACGAAAGUCUGACGCAGCCAUGCCGCGUGCAGGAUGACGGCCCUAUGGGUUGUAAACUGCUUUUGUACGGGAAUAAACCCUUCUACGUGUAGGAGGCUGAAGGUACCGUAAGAAUAAGCACCGGCUAACUCCGUGCCAGCAGCCGCCGUAAAAC
rnacentral:rRNA from 1 species